UUGAUGUGAUCCAGCCCUCUGACAUGUCUUUAUAAUAUAUAGCACUAGACCCUGAUAUUGAUGUGAUCCAGCCCUCUGACAUGUCUUUAUAAUAUACAGUAGAGGGUUUGGGGUUGAUCGGGGGCGGGGAGACCGGGCUAAGCCUCUCUCAGCACAGCUGGUCGUCUGCAGCAGGGCUGAUAAAUUUACAGUCACUCGCUUAUCAGUUCAUCUGUUUUUCUGUCUGUUUGUUCAUUUCAGUCAAUAUUAAGCACCAGCCUGUGCAUUCUCAGCUCUCCAGCGCAUUGAACUCAACGAGCGCUGUAAACAGCAGCUGGUCCCGUGGCAGUGUGGUUAUUGUACAGCUGGUUAUUUUAAAGUGGCACACGGCCGCCCCUGGGAGUGUGAAUCAGGGCUGAGUGGCACACCGGUAUCCCGCCCGGCACGGCUGCCUGCUCAUUCUUUCUUUCUUUCUCUUUUUAGGAUCCUCGAUCAAAAAAAAGAGAAAUCGGGACCCCAUGCGCCCCGAAACGCAACACAUUAACAUUACACUGUGGACGAGGGCUGCUUCAGAAGACCUGAGAGAGGAAGGACAGGCAGGGGGAGUCACUAACUGCACAACCCGAGCGAUGGACUGAGAGGCACUGGCCUGGAAAAUGAGGCGAGUGCAAACAAGCUGAAAGAAAGAAAGUUGUGAGAGAAGAGAGUCCCUUCACAGGGUCUCACCCACAGAGAAACUGAGAGACCGAGAGAGGCGUCAACAUUUCCACUGCGGUGGAGGAGCAGGGGGGUGCGAUUCACAGGAUCAGAUCACCGUGUUUCUGUACUGUACUGUACAGUCAGACACCGCAAGACUGUCGAAAGCCAGUGGCUCAAUCAUUUCAGUGGUGUAGAGGACCACUCAAACGAUUUCCAAACCGCACAGCCCAGGUUUAACGGCACCUUCCUUCCUUCCUUCCUGGAGCUAGCUUGUUUAGAUGUAGCUUGUUUGCUCUGGAGACCGGUAGUUAUGAAGCUGGAGCAGCUCUGCUUGGUAACCCUGAGUGCUCCAGCCUGUCAGAUCCCUGCUCAUCGCUCAUCUGUGCUCACAGAAGAGGCAACCGUAUCUCCGAGUGCUGGACGCCUUCACUUCCAAACGAGCCCAGCAGCUGUCUCUGUUUACAGCAGCUCUUCAGCGCAGCCAAGCUCCCCCUCCAAGGAGGUGAACGGGGGCUGUGAAAGUUUACACCUUGAAAUGUUUCCCCAAGUAUUGAGAGUGGCUGCUCUGAAACACAGUCCCCGACAGCAGAAGGAAGCAGAGAGACGGGGAGACGCGCAGGCAGAGGGGACAGUGCUAGACGA